rnacentral:rRNA from 1 species
AACGAACGCUGGCGGCAUGCCUAACACAUGCCAGUCGAACGAGACCUUCGGGUCUAGUGGCGCACGGGGGAGUAACGCGUGGGAACCUGCCCUUAGGUUCGGAAUAACUCCCCGAAAGGGGUGCUAAUACCGGAUAAUGUCUUCGGACCAAAGAUUUAUCGCCUUUGGAUGGGCCCGCGUUGUAUUAGCGAGUUGGUAGGGUAAAAGCCUACCAAGGCGACGAUCCAUAGCUGGUCUGAGAGGAUGAUCAGCCACACUGGGACUGAGACACGGCCCAGACUCCUACGGGAGGCAGCAGUGGGGAAUAUUGGACAAUGGGCGAAAGCCUGAUCCAGCAAUGCCGCGUGAGUGAUGAAGGCCUUAGGGUUGUAAAGCUCUUUUACCCGGGAUGAUAAUGACAGUACCGGGAGAAUAAGCUCCGGCUAACUCCGUG